GACGUAGGGGGCGAGCGUUGUCCGGAUUUAUUGGGCGUAAAGGGUGCGUAGGCGGCGCGGUAAGUCGGGUGUGAAAUCUCGGAGCUUAACUCCGAAACUGCAUUCGAUACUGCCGUGCUUGAGGACUGGAGAGGAGACUGGAAUUUACGGUGUAGCGGUGAAAUGCGUAGAGAUGCGGAGGAACACCGAUGGCGAAGGCAGCCCCCCUGGGCUAGCACUGACGCUCAGGCACGAAAGCGUGGGGAGCAAACAGG
rnacentral:rRNA from 1 species